GAGCGGCGUACGGGUGCGUAACACGUGUGCAACCUACCUUUAUCAGGGGGAUAGCCUUUCGAAAGGAAGAUUAAUACCCCAUAAUAUAAUGAUUGGCAUCAAUUAUUAUUGAAAACUCCGGUGGAUAAAGAUGGGCACGCGCAAGAUUAGUUUGUUGGUGAGGUAACGGCUCACCAAGACUGCGAUCUUUAGGGGGCCUGAGAGGGUGAUCCCCCACACUGGUACUGAGACACGGACCAGACUCCUACGGGAGGCAGCAGUGAGGAAUAUUGGACAAUGGGUGAAAGCCUGAUCCAGCCAUCCCGCGUGAAGGAUUAAGGACCUACGGUUUGUAAACUUCUUUUAUAUAGGAAUAAACCCAGAUACGUGUAUUUGGCUGAAGGUACUAUAUGAAUAAGCACCGGCUAACUCCGUGCCAGCAGCCGCGGUAAUACGGAGGGUGCAAGCGUUAUCCGGAUUUAUUGGGUUUAAAGGGUCCGUAGGCGGACUAAUAAGUCAGUGGUGAAAUCUCAUAGCUUAACUAUGAAACUGCCAUUGAUACUGUUAGUCUUGAGUAUAGUUGAGGUAGCUGGAAUAAGUAAUGUAGCGGUGAAA
rnacentral:rRNA from 1 species